UAAAUAGACCUUAUAUAGAACCUGAAUAGACCUUAGUUACAGGACAUGAGAUGCCGUUUGAAGAACCUCGGGUCUGGUGACUUUGGUGAUGGACAGUUUUGAACAUCCGUGAAGAUGAGCAAGAUGAAACGGAAGCGGUUUAAGUCGAGACACGCUUGAGUGGAGGUUUUGUUGACUUUGGAUCACUGUGCUUAAUCCCCGUGUUUAUUCAGGAUUUCAUCUGCUUCUACUUUGAAUUAAGGCGACGUUUGAAAAGAUCAAGCCGCUGCAGGAUCUUCUUGCUCCUGUCGUCUGUGCAGAAGUCGGACAAGACUCUCCUGUGGACCAGAACUACGCCAUUGAGGAGCAGCCAAGACCCGAACCAGAACAGAAGGAAGACCAGCGUACCUCGGCGAGACCACAACCUGAGGCCCAACCAGCGUAGGAAGUAAACCCCGGCGGCCAUGACAGCUGUGACCAGGCCCACCGUCCUCAGACUACAAGAUCUCCAACUGGAAGCAGCUGGCGCCGUAACAGGUCCAACAACAGAAGGCGAUUGAUGCGCGGACAUCUGGACUUAUUGGACGUCCUCCAGAACGACAACCAAAACCAUCCCCAGCUGGCCGUGCUCUCUGGGAAAAAGAAAUCAAAUACUGACAAUUGGAAUGUCCUUUGUGAAAACAAGGCGGACUUAGUUUUCUGGACAAAACCCAAAUUCUUCAGAACUUGUCACACGAGACAAGACCGUUGUCAUUCACUAGCAGCUUUUACGUCUUCAGAUCCAACAGAACUGAUCUCUCUGAUGUCCAAGACAAAUACUUCAGAGAUGAUUCAAGACUUCUGAGGUUUAUAGUUCUGCUGCACAUAUUUGUCUUAACCGUCCAACCAACCCGACACAGUUUCCUUCAGCUUACUACUUUGUGGUCAGGUUUCAGUCCAAAAAGCUGACUGAGGUUCUGGUGCUAGAGCCCGUCACAGAGAUCUCGGGCCCACUUGAUGAAGUGGGACGCCCGAGGGAGAGACAAAUGAGAACCAGGAGGUGUUCUGUUUGGCUCUUACUUGUGUAGCCCCGCAACUUGAGACUGCUCCGAUGCGGUUUUGCUUCACGGAUCAGAGGUGACCCAUGAAGGGUUCUGAGUGUGACUAGAUUGAGGUGACUUGUAGGUACGCCUCAUUCUUCCACCAUCACGCUAACCAUUUCCUUCACAAAGUUCUGUUCAGUCCAAGAGUUUGUCUUCUCGGGUUCAUCAAGUCAAAGCAGGAGAAGAAAAAGUGUCUUCUUCGAGAUCCAAAAGGUGAGCUGCUCUGUCCGCAGAGCUUCUGAUCCAAGGCAGCGUUCUGGAUCAGCGUGCAGGUCCUGAGGAACCGCUUGGCAUUCUUCAAAGUGUCCCAAACACUUUAAACCAUGGGCUGCUUCUGUCGGUCUUCUUGUCAGGACAGGUCUGCAUCGGUUUGCAGCUCUGAAGAUGCACCAGGAGGUCGGCGGUGACUUAAACCCUCAUUGUGGACUGCCAGGCCUCCUUGGACCACUGCGGACGGAAUUUCUUUCCCUCCCCGCCUGCUCCUACUGUGUGUGAAUGUGUGUGUGUGUGUGUGUGUGUGCACGCUCAGGCAUGUCAGCACAGCCUUCCUGCAGUCUUUGCUGCUGCUCUGUGACGCCCCCACAUGGCGGCUGGAGGUUUAACACUCACUAAACAAGUGUGGAUAUGUGUGUGUGGCCGUGGUCUUGGUGGGAGGAACAUCACCCCCCCCCCUCCCAUGAUAACAUAUGCUACUGUACCUCUCUCUUUUAGCCCCUCCUCCUCCGUUACCACGGCAGCACAUCCCCUUCAGCCACAUUAAAGGCCCCCACCCCUUACUUCCGUGCUGUACAUUGGAAAGCUGCCAAUAAAAAUCCGGUUAACAACU